GACGAACGCUGGCGGCGUGCCUAACACAUGCAAGUGGAGCGACGAACCGGGCUUCGGCCCGGGGCAAAGCCGCGAACGGGUGAGUAACACGUGGGUAACCUGCCCUGAUGAUUGGGACAACCCGAGGAAACUCGGGCUAAUACCGAAUGUGCCCUCCAGCCAUAAGGCUGCUGGGGAAAGGAAGCUUCGGCCUCCGCAUCGGGAUGGGCCCGCGGCCCAUUAGCUUGUUGGUGAGGUAAAGGCUCACCAAGGCCACGAUGGGUAGCUGGUCUGAGAGGACGAUCAGCCACACUGGGACUGAGACACGGCCCAGACUCCUACGGGAGGCAGCAGUGGGGAAUCUUGCGCAAUGCGCGAAAGCGUGACGCAGCAACGCCGCGUGGGGGAAGACGGCCUUCGGGUUGUAAACCCCUUUCAGUUGGGAC
rnacentral:rRNA from 1 species